UUCACAUCGACCCCGCGGUUUGGUACCCAGACGUCGUCUCUUCCCAUCCUGGCGGUGCAGCAGCCGCCAAGGGUGGGGCUGCUCGCCCAUUAAAGGGGAACGUGAGAUGGGUUUAGACCGUCGCGAGACAGGUCGGUCUCUACCUGCCGGGGGUGCUGGCCGCCUGAGGGGAAGGUCCGCCCAGUACGAGAGGAACGGCGGGCCGUGGCCUAUAGUCUACCGGUUGUUCGACAGGGCAUCGCCGGGCAGCCACGCCAUAAGGGAUAAGGGCUGAAGGCAUCUAAGCCCGAAGCCCUCCCCGAAAAGAGGCGGCCAUUCCCC
rnacentral:rRNA from 1 species